GGGCCCGCACAAGCGGUGGAGCAUGUGGUUUAAUUCGAUGCAACGCGAAGAACCUUACCUACUCUUGACAUCCUCAGAAGAGACUGGAGACAGUCUUGUGCCUUCGGGAACUGAGAGACAGGUGCUGCAUGGCUGUCGUCAGCUCGUGUUGUGAAAUGUUGGGUUAAGUCCCGCAACGAGCGCAACCCUUAUCCUUGUUUGCCAGCACUUCGGGUGGGAACUCCAGGGAGACUGCCGGUGAUAAACCGGAGGAAGGUGGGGACGACGUCAAGUCAUCAUGGCCCUUACGAGUAGGGCUACACACGUGCUACAAUGGCGCAUACAGAGGGCGGCCAACUUGCGAAAGUGAGCGAAUCCCAAAAAGUGCGUCGUAGUCCGGAUUGGAGUCUGCAACUCGACUCCAUGAAGUCGGAAUCGCUAGUAAUCGUGGAUC
rnacentral:rRNA from 1 species